rnacentral:rRNA from 1 species
GAUGGACGCUAGCGGCAGGCCUAACACAUGCAAGUCGAGGGAGGAGCCUUCGGGCUUCGACCGGCGUACGGGUGCGUAACGCGUAUACAAUCUGCCUUUCACAUAGGGAUAGCCCGAAGAAAUUUGGAUUAAUACCUAAUGGUAUAUAGAUGUGGCAUCACCUUUAUAUUAAAGCUGAGGCGGUGAAAGAUGAGUAUGCGUUCUAUUAGCUAGUUGGAGAGGUAACGGCUCCCCAAGGCGACGAUAGAUAGGGGUUCUGAGAGGGAUAUCCCCCACACUGGUACUGAGAUACGGACCAGACUCCUACGGGAGGCAGCAGUGAGGAAUAUUGGACAAUGGUCGGAAGACUGAUCCAGCCAUGCCGCGUGCAGGAAGACGGCCUUAUGGGUUGUAAACUGCUUUUGCAGGGGAAGAAUAAGGACUACGCGUAGUUUGAUGACGGUACUCUGCGAAUAAGCAUCGGCUAACUCCGUG